AGUCAAUGAUGUGGCCAUUGUCUGAGCAUAUUAUUAAAUCUAUCCCAUGCUUCAAAUAAUGAUUUAGAGUCCGACUAUCUGAAGUUUGCUAUCAAAUUCCUCAUAGC